rnacentral:lncRNA from 1 species
UAUAAGACAUCGAUUUCUCCAUUGUACAAGCAUGUGGUACAAUCGAAAAACGGUGGUACGAUGCAAACUUAGACAUAUAGAGAGAGAGAUACGGUUAACACAAUAGUGACUCCAAACAUCGCUUUCUUGUCGUGCCUUCUCCAAACGAGUUAAAUGCAUCGGAGCUGGCUCAUACUGAUGCAUGAUUGUUCAAGUCUAGCAAGCGAUGCGUCGUCGGCAGUUGGAGCCCAAGGAUGAAUGGGCGACACCGAUGGUUGGAAGCUCGGCGGGGGGGGGCGGUUGCACUGCCAUGCCCAUGUCUUGAGUCUGUCGCAAUGGGAGAGCGAUGUAAGACGCAGGGAGGCAAGAACGUAGAGCAAGUAUAAUAGCAGGCUAUAAGUCAGUUAAAUGCUGAUGUGAAAGAGAGAAGGGAGGAGAGAGAAGCUGGCUAUAGAGCAAGUAUAAUAGCUGGCUAUAAGCCAGCUAACUGCUGAUGUGGAAGAGAGAAGGGAGGAGAGAGAGGAGAAGCUGGCUAUAAGCUUAUAGCCAGCUCAGGCACAAGAACCAAGACACCAUGUGAAAGAGACAUGUGGGUCCUUUAUUAAAGAUGAAGAGCUAACCAUUAUAUGAGUGGACUAUAAGAAGACUACAAGGAGUCUUAUAGCCAGCUUGUUGGCUAUAUUAUUAGCCUUGCUUUAAGCUUAUAGCCAGCUCAGACACAAGAACCAAGACACCAUGUGAGAGAGAUAUGUGGGUUCUACAUUAAAGAUGAAGAGUUAACCAUUAUAUGAGUGGGUUAUAAGAAGACUACAAGUUGGCUAUAUUAUUAGCCUUGCUCUUAGUGGCGACGACCUCCUGCUACAGCCAUUCAUGGUGGGAACCAGUAUUGGGCCUGUGGUCUGCUGAGCAGACUCAACCUAUUUAAUCUAAAUGGCUCAAUUGACCUCGACAUUACUUAACCAGAUGACAAAAAUAUCCAUCAAAAUCAACAUUUAGAAUUGUUCCUACUACACUACUACCACCUGCAGUGGGAGGUAUUGUAGUGUUCCUACUACACUACUGCCACCAUGACAAAAUGAACAUAAGAAUGGUGUUUUAAUCCUCUUGUAAAUUGCAUUGUUCAUGUUAGUCUCAACCCUGAAGUAUCAAUCAUCUCUGGAUGAUCAAAAUGCGGGUCCAACGUUGCACAUGGAUAACCCAAAAAAAAAAAAGAGGAACAUAUGGCUGCAGCGGCAACUAGGGCGCGGACCUGUUUGACAGAGCAGCUUAAC